rnacentral:rRNA from 1 species
CAGGCCUAACACAUGCAAGUCGAACGAGAAAGUGGAGCAAUCCAUGAGUACAGUGGCGACCGGGUGAGUAACACGUGACCAAUCUACCCUCGAGUGGGGAACAACAGCGGGAAACCGCUGCUAAUACCGCAUAACAUCCUCGGAUCGGAAGAACUGGGGAUCAAAGGAGCAAUUCGCUUGAGGAGGAGGUCGCGGCUGAUUAGCUAGUUGGCGGGGUAAUGGCCCACCAAGGCGAAGAUCGGUAUCCGGCCUGAGAGGGCGCACGGACACACUGGAACUGAAACACGGUCCAGACUCCUACGGGAGGCAGCAGUGGGGAAUUUUGCGCAAUGGGGGAAACCCUGACGCAGCAACGCCGCGUGGAGGAUGAAGUCCCUUGGGGCGUAAACUCCUUUCGACCAAGACGAUAAUGACGGUACUGGUGGAAGAAGCACCGGCUAACUCUGUGCCAGCAGCCGCGGUAAUACA